UUCGUUUUGGCAUUUACUAUAUUGUCUCUAAGUUUUUCAGGCUUUGCACAUAUGCAAAUGUACUAGCAGUACGGAGUUAGAUAAGGUUGCAUCUAACUAAACUUGUUUUCUGACUGCAGGAUUUAUUAAUCAACAACAACAUAAGCUCGGUGGAGAUGUCGAAUGGUAACUUCGCAAUCAACAACAACAUGAGCUCGGUGGAGAUGCCAAAUGGUAACUUCGCAAUCAACAACAACACAAGCUCAGUGGAGAUGCUGAAUGGUAACUUCGCACUUGGUAGUGCUUCAAGCAUUGGUGCUGCAAUGCCUGACCUUCAGAUGGGCAUUUCUGCCGCGCCAACUCAGAUGCUGAAUGAUGGUGGUGCAGGCGGCAUUCUCCCUGCGCAAGCACAAGGCACAGCUAAUCAGGAAGCUGUUGAUGGUCAACUGAAUAUCGACAGUGAUGAUUUCUGGGAAGCUGUUAAUAAUUGUUUUUUGAUGGAUGACAUUUCUACCAGGAACAACAUGCUUAAUGAAGUAAGAAGCUUUCUCAUUCUUUUGCUGCAUGAUGCCUGCCCAUUUUAUCUUGUCUCUAAGUUUUUCAGGCUUUGCACAUAUAUAAAUGUACUAGCAGUACGGACUUAGAUAAGGUUGCAUCUAACUAAACUUAUUUUCUGACUGCAGGAUUUAUUAAUCAACGAUGUUAAUAUCUUGGGUGAAGAGCUGUAGUUAGGUCGUUAGCCCCUAACUUCCAGAGAGAUGCUCCUCUACCUGCCGAUUCUUGCACAUUCUGUGUGUGAAAUUGUGCUAGUCAGAAGGAGUUUAGUUUUAUCUGUUAUCUUUUGGGAUCAUAAAUAAGGUUAUCCUAUAUGUUAGGCAGAACCAGUUUCUAUGUAUGAUUUCAGUUAGCAGAUGGCAUGGCAUCUGCCUGUACUGUAGUCAUGGAGUUCAGUUUUACAUCACAUUUAACUUUUACUCGGUGGUUGUCUUUUGGGAUCGGAAACAAGGUUGUGUUAUGUUUGGUCGAACCAAUUUUAAUCUAUGAUUUAGACUAUCAAAUGGAAUGUCUUCUAUAAAUUAUCUGUAAUGAUGUGUGGCUUUAAUUUGUAUCACUGCAAUGCUGCUCUUUCCAUGGAUAAGUGCCACACGUGUGGCACGAAGCAAUUCCGCCCUGAUAUUUUUUUAUGGCAACUUUAAUUACCCGGGGAUGGCAACUUUAGUUGUGAAGCAUGGCAGAAGUUUGGAUGGCAAGUUUCAGUUUUUUUAGGGUUUCGGUUUUUUUUUCGGAUGGCAUUUUUAGUUGUAAAAACGUCAGGGCGGUGUUACUUCGUGCCACACGUGUGACACUUAUCAUUUGGGUUUGUUUAUUGCGGCCUUAAACUGAGUACCGAACCGAAGAAAUAUUCCAGUUUCAGAAAUAGAAGCACUUCUACUUUUUUUCUAAUUGUCGUGUGAGCGUGACUCUUUAAGACUUUUCCUUGUCCGAGGCAGCAAUGGCGUCUUCUUACUCUGACAUCUGAUCCGUCUAAUGUAUCCCUAGUCACCACUCAUCCUUGCUGUCUGAUUCCAUCGGUCUCCCUCGGCUCUGGCGGCCAAUUACGGCACCGAGAGUCACGAGAGACCAUGGAUUGCGCCCUCAUGGGAAGCCUUGGUUUAGGUUAUUAGGUUUGGUGUCCUUAUGUCGUCCAUCAAAACAGUGGAGGCGACAGCACAAUGGAGCAAGUCCAUUGUUGGCUUCGGUGCAACCUCGGGGCACGUGAGGAUUGGUUUCCCAAAUCAGUUCCGGCAGAUAAUGGGGUGGAGGGGCAGGGAGGAGGAGUCAACCUCGAUGCUUCCGCCUCGGCUCGAGGUGACGCCGAUUGUCAUGUCAAUAAGAUCUUUAGAUGACACUUCCAGCGUCGAUGUGGGGUUGGUUCUCUCAUCAUGUCUCCGCCUUCUUCUCUAGGAUGACUAUUCGUGCUUCGGAACGUCAUCAUUGGCAUCUCCUGGCAAUAUAUGAUGAUUUCCUAGGGAAAGUUACAAUGACUCUCUGGUUUCAGCGACAAAGGGCAUGUGCGGAUCAAGCUACGCCCAUGACAUGCCGUUGGAUUGUGCAGGUCAAAGAUGGUGAUGAACUCCCCUUGGGCAUGUUUAUAAAUUUCUUUGUCAAGGGUGUUCUUGUAAAGCUUGGACUUGUUUAAUAUAUAUGUAUUCUAGUAUUUGCAAGAAAAGAACAAUCAUAAUCAAACAUGCAAGGUCCCAAAGUGGGGCUAUAGUUAAACAUUAAAAGAAUAGAAAUGCAAGAAAUCGAACCACUUAGGAGAAGACAGAGCACAUAUCAUCCCUCAUGAGCAAGCUAAGUUCCAAAAUUAAUUUCCGGACGGGUCUAAUCACAACAGAGGAUAAUGAGGUGAUGUAAUGGUGAUGGAGAACAUACCAAGUCCAAAAGGUAUUGCAACCAAAUCAUGAAAAA
rnacentral:lncRNA from 1 species